rnacentral:rRNA from 1 species
GACGUAGGGCGCGAGCGUUGUCCGGAUUUAUUGGGCGUAAGGAGCUCGUAGGCGGCUCGUUGCGUCGGCUGUGAAAACCCGCGGCUCAACUGUGGGCUUGCAGCUGAUACGGGCGGGCUGGAGUUCGGUAGGGGAGACUGGAAUUCCUGGUGUAGCGGUGAAAUGCGCAGAUAUCAGGAGGAACACCAGUGGCGAAGGCGGCGAUCUGGGAAGAUACUGACGCUGAGGAGCGAAAGCGUGGGGAGCGAACAGG